GCCUCCUCUUCUCCAGACUAAACAACCCCAGUUCCCUCAGCUGUUCCUCACAGGACUUGUGCUCCAGGCCCUUCACCAGCUUCAUAGCCCUUCUCUGGACACACUCCAGGACUUUGAUCUCCUUCUUGUACUGAAGGGCCCAAAGGUGAACACAGUACUCAAGCUGCAGCCUCACCAGAGCAGAACACAAGGGGAUGAUCACCUCCCUGGUCCUGCUGGCUACGCUAUUCCUGAUAGAAGCCAGGAUGCCAUUGGCCUUCUGGGCCACCUGGGCACACUGCUGGCUCAUGUUCAGGGAACUCUUGAAGUGACACGCAAAUGGGCAAGCUGGGAGACUGUGGUAGAAGAGCUUGCAGCCUAUGAUUAGUCAACCAUGUCCUAGGAACAAGAGCCUUUAAGGGACAGUCUUGCUGAUCCCAAAGCUGAAAGACAAGGUACCUGUACAGGACCCUUCUGAGCUGACAGUAGGAUAAACAGAGACACUCUUGCUGCUGCUGGCUCAGACAAACACUGAUCUUUGCUCUGCUGAGGAAAUCACAUUACUGUAAAAACAGGUUCCAAGGGAUUGUUUGAAGGGAAGGAACUGUGCUGAUCCUCAUCUACUAAGGCAGCGUACAUCUUUGUCUGAGGAACCUGGGAGAAAAUUAGAACAAAACAGAUUUACUGGGCCGCAGGGUCUAAUUUACUGUAUUCACAGUCAGACAUUCAGCAAGAAAUAAAUGAGGGAAUAAGUGAGCAGAUCUUCUUCCUGCUUUCCCACUUGAGAAUGGAGUUCUAUACUUUGGGUGACACCCACUGCAGCUUCACAGGAAGACGAAAUUAGUCAUCAAUAUUCAAGCUGAAAAUCUAAAUUGAUGUUCUCUAGAGAUCAAGGGUAAGGCCAGACUUUCCUUGUGGGAUAGAGAUGUUGAAAAACUUCAGUUUCUCUUCUGUUGUACUUGAGUGAGUGGAACAAAUCAAGGUGAAAUUAUACAAAACAUGACCAAAAAAAGUAUUUAUGUAACAGAUAUGUUAUGGAAGUGUCUGUCAUAGUAUAUUAGAAGAAAGUAAGUAAAAAACUCAGGUUUUGCUUGCAUAUUCAAAAUGGGAUAAUGCAUUGUUCACAUUGAAGAGCAGCCUUUAUAAUUCAUUUAAUAGAAAAACCAGAAACUUUAGGCUUUUCUUUCUAAUUAAGGAAAUGUUUAUGGUAUAUGCAUAAAUGGUUCCAAGAUCAAGGAAGACAGUCUUGUGAAUAUAAAGGGAGAGAGAUGACAGAAAGCGACAGACUGACAUUCAGUCAAGUAUCUUCUGGUGGCUCAUCCAAAGCCUUGAAAUGAAUGGUUUCUAUGGGUUUUUAUAUUUAGUCUUUCCAAAGGUGAAAUAUUUUUAACUGAGGAGAAAUGACGUUCUAUAUUAUAGAGGCCAGCCUCACAUUGUUGUAAGUGGUCCCAGUUUCAUAAAAUGUAUGCAGUAGCUGUCUUGAAGUCAGUUAAAAUUCUUGUUAUCACUUUUCCUACUGGAAAGCUUCUAUAGGAAACUCACCAUUCCCUCCCUGCAUCUAUCUCUUAGCAGGAAAUGCUAUUUUUGUGAAAGACAAAAGCAACCAACAUGUCUAGAUACGAAACAGCUUGAAUCCUCAGUUUAUGUAAUUAAUCCAAACUAAAAAUUUCAGCUGAAACUUUCACAGACUCAAAAAUUCAGUCAGAUGCCAGCUGAUCACCUCUCUGUUUUUCAAGUACAGAAUCGACAUUUAGUCACAAUUUGGCUUAGAAAAAAUAAAUGUUUGUCUAAGCUGUUGUUACAGUUUACAGAGACUUCUAGAGUAUUUGAAGUGUCAGGUAUAUACACAGUACCUAUCAAAUAAUCACGUCUUUUUUUCCUGUUUUGUUUCCUUUCCUUUGUAAUGUGGCUGACAUUACAAGAGAAUUGACACAAUUUAUGGGCUUGCAUAAAUUGCAUCAACUGCUGAGAAAGUUUGAAACAACUUCCUGUAACUGGUGACUCUAAGAACUAGCACCUUCUCUGGGUAAGACACAGAUAGGAACCCUCUAACAUAAUGAGCAUUAGGUUUUGCAUUUCUUUUGAUCAAAAAACCUUGAGGUGUUCAGGAGAUACAUACGAUAACUACUUAAGUUUAGGCUUAAAAUGAAUCUCUUUCAUCUGCUUCAUCAGGAGUUGAAUUGGUGAGUUCAGAGUCAGACUACAACUUGGAUGAGGAGCUAAGGAUUUUGUAGUAGGGGACGGGUGUACACGCUCAGUCUCCUGUAUAGCUGUUGUGCAUCUGGACCACAGCAAAUUUCACUGCUUUCAAUUUUUUCCUAAUUGUAGAGUCUGGAAAUAACAUGAUUGUAGAGUGGUUGUUUUAGCAGUUCAGUAGAGAUAGGUGAAAAGACUACUUCUGUGCAAUUCCCUGUAACUAAGAACCAAGUGCCAGCUGUGAACAGAACUUGCUCUACUAUAAAGGAAAAAGGCUGCCUCUCCCAACUUUCUUUCCCACUGCAGUCCCCAUAUCACCACAGCUAACUCCUUCCAUCUCAUAUGAUCUCCCUGUAAGACUGAGAUUCAAUUCUGAGGGAGCUUUGUCUUGCAGUAGCAAGGGCAGGCAGUGUGAUGUGGGAGCCUGACAUGCAGCUGAUGCUGCUGGCACCUCUUCUCCUACUGCAUUGGUCUUACAGUGUGCCCCUAAACAAACUCUGUCUGCUGCUGAUCACACUGCACAUAUCCAGAAUGAACCAGCUGUGGUCUCUGUAUUGUAUGGGGGCUCUGUUCUCCCACUUGCAGGUGGUAAAUGUGAAAACUAGCAUCAGCUUCAGUGCCUCUGUGAAGCCCAUGCUUGCUGACUCACUAUAGUGCAAACCUUCCACUUGGUAUCUGCUCUCCAGGCACAGAAAUGGUGCAAACCUAGAAGAUGGGCAACUGCUACUAUUGGCACAAUAGAUUAUGAAAAGCACGCCCUCUUCCUGUUGUGUUUAUACUCCUGAGAUAAAACAGCUCUGUAGCAAGCUACAAGGGAUGAUGUGGUUGAGAGAAAGGGACAUGUCAUGUGUCUUGAUCUCACUAUGAAUGAGUCAGUGCUCUCCAUUGGAUUUGCAGUGAGGCACAGAGUGUAUUUGUGACUGCUAGCUGCACAGAAAGCCUGUGGCAUGUCAUUACACCUGAAGCACCCUGGCUGGGCUGGUGGCAUGGCCUUGACUGGCAAGGCACUGCCCUGCCACCCUCCCCGGAGGUCCUUUCUGCUCCCAGUGCCUCUUCAGUUGACUUUACCAACUGGUCUCAUCUAGACAUCACUUUGCUGCAGUGCAGUUAGAGCAAUGGUGUGGUCUCAAGGACCAAUUAGACUAUUGUAGGCAAACACUGAAAAGAAUGUAAUCCCAAAGACACAGCUAUCAUGCAUAACUGAGCAAUACAGGCAGGUAAGGAAAAUUCCAAACAUAUGAAACACUUAAUAAAAUAGAAACCUAAAUUGCCCUACUUGGAGUUCUUCUCCUGCCGUUAUUGAAAAACACUUCAUUAACAAAAACGGGGCACACAUUUUACACAAAAAAGGCCUAAGACUGCAUUGAUCUCACAAAUUUGACUGUGAUCUGAAUGAAAACAAUUACUCACAACCCUUCCCUCUCCCUUCCCCAACUGAAUCCAUUUUUCUUCAGUUUGUGAUUAAUUUGUAGUCAUCUGAAACCUGAAAGGUUUCAAGUAUUAGCUGAAGAAAUGAGCAGAUGCAAAAAACACAUCUGAAAGGCCAAGAAUGGUAAAUCCAAAAAUUUAUAGAUACUUUAGAAACCUUGUUUUACUAAUUAAAAGUUUUACAAAUCAGAGUCCAGAGAACAAUAGCAGUAGUUUCAUUGUUUAAUGCAAAAAUUAUGCCUGCCACAUCACCUACACUUUCCUCCAAAAUCAUUAUUUUUUGUGAAUAUACCAGGUACAUUGCCGAUAUCAGUGUGCAUAGACAUACUUUAGAAGUACAGUGAGUGAAGACAAGAUUUUUGGAUAUGCUGUAGCAAUAAAAGUCUAUUUUAGAGGACUGCUUGCAUCAGCAUUUCAAAAAACAUUUCCUUGAUGCAUUAUCACAUUCUACAAGUCAUCUGUUAUCACUGAUAAUCAUUUAUAAGGCAAUUUCAAUUUCAAAGAUCUGUUACUAAUUUUUCAGCUUUUCAUUAUCAUACCCUUACACCCUUCAUAGAAAAAAAAGUUCAAGGAUGUUUAUUUUGAUAAAGAAGAUAAAGUGACCCAGUGCUGCUUUUAAUAACACACUUUCAUAUACAACAAGCCAGCCAGGCAAAAAUGUAUUCAGCACAAUUCUUAAAAAUCAUGGCUCCAUCUCUUUUAAAAAUGACAUUAUUUUCAUUACUUUUCAAAAUUCUGGAAGCAAAUGAAUAUUUUGAUGCCAUGUGUUACAUAACAACUCAAAGGACAUUCUGCCAUUUCUUAUCCACCAGGCUAUUCUGUUGCCAUCUUGUAGAAUGGUUGGAUAUGUUAACGGGGCAAUCUCCAGGCUGCAGUGUAAGAGAACUGAAGGGAAUUAAUAUGUAGUGAUGCCACAGAAGGUACCUAGACAGAUACAGGACAAAUCCAGUUAGAUGUUCAGCACAUUUGAUCUACAUGAUCCAGCAAUUUAUGGAGAGUUUACAUUUUAAACAUCAGAAAUAUAUCUUUUCUUUAUCUAGAAUGCAUAAAUGGAACAGUUGAUCUCUAGAACUGUGAUUCAUUGUGAAAAUGAGGACCUAAAGAUUGAGAGGUCCAGUGGGAGAACAUCAUGCAAAUGCUGAUCAAAUAAUUUUUUUAAGUAAAUGAGCUGGAUUAAGCCUAAUCAAGAAGAUGCAGCUGCCCUUCCCCUGUAUACUGAUUCUUAAAUGGUAUUAAAAAGUAGCAGUAGAAGAGAGAGAAUCAAUAAAACAGGGGCAUUUUAAAAUGUUUUUGUUUUUUGUUUGUUUUUCCAGGAGUAAUUUAUUUAGGAAAAAGUGUUUAAAAAUUAAAAGAUGUAGUUGUUUAUGCUGGUUGAAAACCAAACUGCAGUGUUAUUACCUGCUUUCUGUGGGUGAGUCACUUAAAAUCAAAAUAUUCUCUGAAACCAAAGCUUUGGGUUGCCUCCAGUUAGGUGGCUGGCAUGAGUUUCUCUGUUCCUUUGAGCCUACUUUGAGAGCAAGUUAUAGGAAUUUCACUAGAACAAGAGAUGAGGAUUAGUGAAUCCCCAUUAUACAUUGGCUUACAGAGAAGCAAAUACUGAAGAGUAUGUGUGUUUCUUCAGUAUCACUUAUUUCUCAAUGCACUGGCGGGACUGUCAACAUCUUGUCUUAUUUUGCCCACGUCUUUUCAUGUUUUUUCCUGAGGAAGGCCAAACUGGCCAUCUUUCAGACAAUUUCUGCUGCUGCUUUCCUGAAAUCCAAUAAGUGAAGUGUGUUUUUCUGUUUACUGGGUCUCUUAAUAAGACAAAAAUUACAGUGGUGAAAAACUUCAUGUAGCACCUUAAGAGACCCAACAUAGCACGUGGCACCAAAAGAUUGUUACAUGUCUAACAUCUGCCUUCAGAGACUUGCAUUAGGGACAGGGUUAUCUUGCACUGUUAGACACUUUCCACACACAGCACAGAAAUUGUCUUUGCGCAGGACAAUUUAUAGGUUAUACUCAAGUAUUAGCUGAAGAAAUGAGCAGAUGCAACAAACACAAGAACAAAGAUGAAACAACAAUGGAAAAAAAUUGACUGGUAAAAUAAACAAUGGUCAAAGCACACCAUCUGCUUUUCUGCAGAGCCCACAAAUCACUGAACAAUGGCUGGAGUGACUUUGAAAGCAUUUGAGGAAAAAUAAUUACUGUUGCUGUGGUUUCUGAGCAUUUGGGAGAGAAUGGAUUCCAAUUGUGUCCACAUCUUUUUCAAUAACUCACAGACUAUUACAGUCCAAAGCUAUUUUGUUCAAAAGUAUUUAUAUUUUUGAACCAAAUUUCUGACGGCCAAAUCAGCAGCUAUGUUUAUAAUUCAGAGGCACAGCUCUGCUGUCAAAGCUCCAGGAAAAGCAGCUGUGUUGGAAAACUUUCUAUGAGCCAGUGGUAAUUUCUUUCUUUUCUGAAGAUGCAUGACUCAAAGCUGCUGUGACUUGUGAUUUUGUUUUUCUUCCUCAAAACACGUUGAAAAAUUGCUACCUUCAAGAAGGUGGUCAUAUGUUAAAUGACAAUAAUGUUCACUGAGAGACACAUCAUUGAAAAUAUAUCCACAUGAGAAAAAUGUGCUUCUGCUUCUUCUGACAGCUUCAGUGGGAGUUGGAUUUGGAUCAGAUAAAGAAUCGGUGUUGCCCUUUGUUAAUGGAAAAUUAUUAUUUUUUUAUAGGAAGCUGUAUGAUAAUACGACAGGUACUAUGAAAUACUCCCUUUCUUCCCAAAUGUGUUAAUGGCCCAGAACUUGGAUGCAAAAUAACACUGUCCAGUUCCAUGUCAGAUACUUCAGCAAAAUUGUCAUUGUGGCUAUUGAGGUAUGCCAGAACAUUAUGAAGAUGAUGCCAAAGUCUAUUGCAUACUGUACAUAUUUGAUGUAAUCAGUCAUUGUGAGCUAUGAACCCAGUGCCAUAUACUUCCUCUCCCUGCUGCACCCAUACUUCCCUCCCCCAAAGCUUAUUAUCAUGCACAUUAGAAAACUGCAAUCUUGCCAAUUUGUUAUUGUCACUAAGGGCAAAGCACUUGUGUUCAUAUUAGGUUGUUAAAGCAGGAUUGUUUUCAAUCACUUUUAAACUGUUUUCUCACGCAUGACUUUAAGUUACAAACAGUAGAAGUCAGAACUCAAAGUAGAAGUGUUAUUUCCUGCGGCUCCACUUCUAACACUCCAUUCUCAGGUAUUGUUGUUUAUUCUGUUGUUUAUCUCCUUCCCUUACCUUGAGUUUUGUUGUAGGUGCAGUUCUCCAGAUAACUGGAAAACAAACAACAAACGCUGUUUGUUUCCAGUCAUUUUUUGUAAUGAUCAAAUACUAGGAAGUUAAUAUAUCAUAAUUUCCAAUGGAGGAAAGCAAGAAGAGGUAGAACUGCACAGGUUUUAGGAUUCUCAGUCCUGGAAACUAAAUUUUGUUCUCUAAUCUCUGUCAAAGUGUAAAUCUUCAAACCAGACUAUACUGCAUAUUGUAGCUAAUCAUCAAGGGACCAGUCUAAAUUCUGCCCACCUGCUUUUGCAGUGUGUCAGGAAAUAUUUUGGGGCUUCUGUAAUCUUUUGUGGGUUUUCUUGUUUUUAGUUUGGUAGGUUUUACUGUUGAAUUAGAUCUCAAGGGAUCAUGUGCUUAUUAUUUUCCUGGUAGCUAGCAGGUGUUGUCUGUGGAUGGUCUGCUGUUAUGCCAUUAGCUCUGUAAGAACCUCAUAUUUUGUCACUUGUGAUGUAACCUAAUGAGAUACAAGACUCUUACUUUUCAGUAACAACAAUUUAUCACUCUUCAGAGGGUGUGCUGUUAAAACAAAUAUUUUUUCUUACACAUGCAUAAGGGCCACAUUCCCACUCUUUACUUGCAUCUUGCAUUGUUUACCUCAAAUGAUGAUUUGAGACUUGCAGUGGUUGUUAAAAAAGUAAUUUAUGUGGAAGACCUUACAGGUGUUCCAUUUUAUAACAAUUUCAAAACAAUAAAAUGUGAAUAAAAUUCCCAGUGAUUGUUUUUCUCUAGGAUGGAUAAAAUCAUUAACAGAUAUGAAGUUUAAACGUAGUGGGUGUUCUCCGUUUACAUACAGGGAAUCUGAAACACUGAUUUCUGUAGAUAUGCAUGUAUAUAUUCUAAUUCUUAGAGCGAGGAGAACAAAUCUGUAGAGGGGAAAGAAUGGCUUCUGCAAAAACAUGGAACACUGGCAAUCUGUUCCUGACUUGGAAGUGUUAGAAGAAUGCUGCUUAGUCCUGCCUUAUUUUUUGCCUUGGAUCUUCAAGCAUUUAACCUAGUCAGUUAGGAAGGAAAAAUAGAACAUUUUUUUUCUGAGUGAGGAAUUAUUUGAUUCUCCAAGUAGGUGUGACAAUAUACAUUGCAAGCAUUUUUGGAGAAAGAAUGAUUUUAGACAGUAGAAUGCACUUGGGCUAGGGAGAAAUCAAAACUCCUCCACUGAACUCCUGUCCCCAACUGAUACUUCACAGUGUGUGCUUCUACCUCAGUUGUGUGGCGUAACUCAAUAGAGUGGAUAGUGUGAGAGAAGAAACAGUACGAGAAAAAGAGAAACCCCUAACACUUAGAGCAGCCCCUUGGAAAAUAACUUGAACUUUGGUUCAAGUGCAGUCUCCACCAGCUACCACCAAGAUCUGGAGGUUUGUUUCCAAAUGCCAGAAAUUCUUCUGAUGAGCAUACAUGUAAUCUGACCAAAAAAAAAAAAAAAUUCAUCCUGGCCCUGUGGGAAUUUUCACUUUUUUUUGACAUCAUAUGUAAUGGAUGUCCAUGUGAUCAAAUACCAUCCAUUACAUAUGAUGUGAUGAUUUGAUCCAUGUGAUCAAAUACCUGAAGGGAAAGUGCAAAGAGGACAGAGCCAGGCUCUUUUCAGUGGUGCCCAGUGCCAGAACAAAAGGCACUGGGCACAAACUGGGUCACAGGAGGCUGCUUCUGAACACCAGGAGCACUGUUUAUGAACAAUGAACACUUGCACAGACAGCCCAGAGAGGCCAUGGAUCUCCCUUGUUAGAGAUCUUCCAGGGGACCAAGUCCUCUUGGCAUGGUCCUGGACACCUUGCUCUGGGUGGACCUGCUUGGGCAGGGGGCUUGCACCAGACGACUUUUGGACAUCCAUUCCGACCUCAGCCAUUCUGUGAUUCUGUGAUAAUGUAAAGUAACUAACUCCAGGGCCAAAAUUGUUUAUUGCUCCAUUAUGGAAAGGAAAGUGUAGAUGUAGCUGGGUGAGAGUUCUUGGUCAGUAAAAAGAGAAUUCUGUCUUUUUUAUAGUGAGUAACAGCCACUGGGAAUUUUCCAAAUACUAGUUAGGUGUGAGCCUAGGUGCUAUAGUUCCUGCAGCCUUUCAGGGGCUGUCACGAUCUGGAAGUUUAAUUGCUCUGUCAUUCCUUGAGGCUCUUAGAAUUACAAGUGCAUCCAACUUUCCUCUGAAAAUAUUGGAGCCUGGUUUAAUUUAAUGUGUUACUAUAGAAAAAGCAUUUUAUUUACUGCAGUGGAUUCAUUUCUUAUAAACUGAACACUUCAUUGCAUGCAACUCAGGUUGCCCUGAAACAAAAUCACUGAAUGGUUUUCAUGUUAAGUAUAGGGUGAGAUAGAUAAAUACAUUGUUUGUGUGACUAACCAAGAAAUCAGUUCCCAUAGCAACACUAACUACUUUCCAAUCCUUAAACUCAGCAUCCUACAAGAUCCAUACAGCUGCACUAAACUAUCCUAGCUCAAGAUAGGGUCUCCUCUAUGCUGAUAAAGUAGAAAUGUGAAAAUAUAUGUAGUUCUUUGGGACAAAAACAUCUGUCUGAACUGAGGAAAAGAUAGCAGUGAGUACAAUAAGGUAUAGGAGGGUAGUUACAAUAUAGGGAUAGCUUCAUAGAUAACAACAUGCACAGUAUGAUGAGCAUUAAUCAUAGCUGUUUCUUUUUUCUCUCCCUAUUGUCUUGUAGCGAUUCUGUCAGCUACCACAGUGCCUGCAAGGAGUCCACCUGCAGAUUUUGACCACAUCUCUUCCUCUGAUCUGUUUUGUUGCUUACGUUUGGUGGCUCAGAUGAAGAGAAAUCUAGGAACUUGUCUUACAAUUCAGGUGGAAAAAGACUUCCUUCCAGAGGGUUCCUUGUUGUGGUUUAACCAAGCAGGCAGCUCAGCACCACACAGCUGAUUGCUCCUUCCCUCCUCCCUGCCCCUGCAGGGGGGACAGGGAUGGGAAUCAGGAAGGAAAAAAAAAAAAGUAAAAUCUUGGGGGUUAAGAUGAAGACAAUUUAAAAGGACAGAAAAGGAAGGGAAAUAGUGAUGAUGAUGAUGACAAUGAUGAUGGUGAUGAUGAUAAUAAUAAUAGGACGUACAAAGCAAGUGAUGAAUAAUGCAAUUCCUCACCACCUGCUGACUGAUGCCCAUCCCAUCCCCAAGCAGUGAUUCUCCCCACCCCAGCCAGCCCACCCAGUUUUAUUGUUUAGUAUGGUGCCACACAGUAUGGGACAUUCCUUUGGCCAGCCUGGGCCAGCUGUCCUGGCUGUGUCCUCUCCCAGCUCCUGGCGCAACCCCAGCCUCCUCACUGGCAGGGCAGUACCAAAAGCUGAAAUGUCCUUGGCUCUGUGUGAGCACUACUCCGCAACAACUAAGUCAUCAGUGUAUUAUCAGCAUUAUUUUCAUCUUAAAUCCAAAACACAACACCAUGGCAUCUACAAGGAGGAAAAUUAACUCUAAAUUCACUCAGGACAUCCCUUCAGGUACCUUUAUGUUUGUGAUAGCUCUCUGGAGAUACACAGGUUUUUUCACAUACAUUUCUAGCUCUUACUUACUGAGUGCUUCCCAACACCAAAAUUUCUAAACAAAUCUAGAGCCAACUUUAAAAAAAAAAACUGGUCCCUGUCUCUAACCAAACCAAGUCAGAGUGAGCUCAGUUUGGACUCUCCUGUUUGCAGGGAUAAAAUUAAAUGAAAUUCAGCAGAAUUUUACUACCUGAUGGAUACAUAUGUUAACAUUAUUCUUAAUUGACAAAAGAUUACUAGAAAGAUUUUUUGAAUCACUUAAAACAUACAAGUAAAUAAGACUGUUUAGGACCCUCUUGUAGUUAAAUCCAUAAAGCCAAAAUUAAAAUGCCAAAAAUAGAGCAAGCUAACCUACUAUAUGAGACUGGAUAAAUGUUAAAAAUCACUCAAAAGCCAUGCGAUUUCCCACUUGUGUUUGAUAAUUCUCUCAUAUUUGGAGCUUUCAAAAUAAGCUCUAAGGACAAUGUAACUUAGAAAUUUUGUUGUUGACUAGCUAAUAAAUUUUGUUGCCAUUCUGUCUAUAAUAACUUCACACAUAUAUUUUUGAUAUUUUUUUAGGUACAUUUACUUCAGCUGAUCUAGUUCUGACUGUUACUAAAACAAACUGAUUCUGAAGUUUUCAUUUUACUUCUUCAUAUGUAUGGCCAGUCCAGGUUUUUUUCCACUAGCUAUUUGAAAUACAAUCUAUUUCUCUCAUCAAUGAGUGUCUUGUGUCAUCACACGGCACUUACAAGGCAACCAGGUGAUCAGGCCCAGUCACUAUGAGUUUAUGAAAGGCAGGUCCUGCUUGACGAACCUGA